AAACUUGAGAGUUUGAUCAUGGCUCAGAACGAACGCUGGCGGCAUGCCUAACACAUGCAAGUCGAACGAUUGCCUUCGGGUGAUAGUGGCGCACGGGUGCGUAACGCGUGGGAAUCUGCCCCUUGGUUCGGAAUAACAGCUAGAAAUGGCUGCUAAUACCGGAUGACGACGUAAGUCCAAAGAUUUAUCGCCGAGGGAUGAGCCCGCGUAAGAUUAGGUAGUUGGUGUGGUAAAGGCGCACCAAGCCGACGAUCUUUAGCUGGUCUGAGAGGAUGAUCAGCCACACUGGGACUGAGACACGGCCCAGAC
rnacentral:rRNA from 1 species